GUUUCAAGAGUUGAGGGCUUGGACAGUGUGCCUCACAGCCUUGGCCCAGGCGGUGAAAGCUGAGCUACCCCUCGCAACCAGGACAGUGUGCGGCGCACCCCUGCUGGGGGCUCAGGGCUUCUGCGUGGGCACAGUGGAAAAGACUGGGUGGAGAGUCACUGCCCCAGUUCUGCAGGCUGGUCUACUGUGGAUACCAGAUGGGUCACGGAGACUCACACUGACUUUCACAAACUUCAUGAGAUGAAGACGCAACUGCAUCUGUGAUUCUGUCUCUGGAUUGCCCUGUGGAGGCAAACUGCCAGGUGGAACCCUGCAGCCCACUGGGAACAAACCUUUUACCCUGAGAGCUGAACUUGAUUGGACAUUCGGAAGCGGUCACUGAAAGGAAGUAAAAGACCCAUGGCAAUGAUCCAUGAGCAAAACUUCUCUGCUACCCCGGGACACCCAUUCUCCUGUUGGCCACACAGCUUCUGCAGCAGAGCUCACUCUGCAGAUGAAAAUGGUCAAUAGGAGGUCGCACUGCCAGGUCACUUGGCUCAGAAGUCUCCCAGAGUAGCGAGGUCUGGUAAGCACAGCCAGUGGGCAUCACCAUUGCCGAGGCUACUGAUAUGUGCACAAAGCAACACGGAGGGGCACAGAGAAAACUCUGUGGUCCAAGGCCUGGGAUACCACAUGGAAAAGGGCAGCCUUGGUUUGCUCUCCCAUCCCUCCAAAUACCUCCUGCCUCCCUGGGGGAUGGGCCAGGUGAUGGGCUGUACAUCUUCCUUCUGAAGAAGCACCCAGCCUUUUGGAUUUCAUGGGUGACCUUCCUUCUCUUUCUCUUUACGUGCU